GCGGAGCUUAUAACAAUGACUGACAGGGAGCUAAGAUGGAGGCGGCUCUCUCUAUACUGACUGCCAGGUGUAAAGGGCGGAGCUUAUAACAAUGAUUGACAGGGAGCUAAGAUGGAGGCGUCUCUCUCUCUAUACUGACUGUCAGGUGUAAAGGGCGGAGCUUAUAACUAUGAUUGACAGGGAGCUAAGAUGGAGGCGGCUCUCUCUAUACUGACUGCCAGGUGUAAAGGGCGGAGCUUAUAACAAUGACUGACAGAGAGCUAAGAUGGGCUCUCUGCUGCAACUGCCAGGUGUAAAAGAGGCAGGAAAGCAUAACAAUGACUGACGAGAGCUAAGAUGGGCUCUCUCUGCAGCUGCCAGGUGUAAAGGGCGGAGCUUAUAACAAUGACUGACAGGGAGCUAAGAUGGAGGCGGCUCUCUCUAUACUGACUGCCAGGUGUAAAGAGCGGAGCUUAUAACAAUGAUUGACAGGGAGCUAAGAUGGAGGAGGCUCUCUCUAUACUGACUGCCAG